AACUCGGUCAUGUGACCCAAUCUCCGGGCUGAAUAGUUCGAGGGUUCUUAGUGCUUCCUGCGAGCAGAGGCGGAAGAGGAGAAGACGGCCGACCGUUGGUCCUCGUGAGGAGACCCUCGUAGCUCCUGCCGAGACCGUUGCUCUUCCCCACGAGACCGUUGGGCUUGGAGAGCGCUAGGCAGUCCCAGCCACCGAUGGAACAGAGUUUGUCCUGGACUUAAUGCACUUGAAGGCAAGGACCAUAGCUGAUUAUAGCUGAUUAUCUCUGAAUCCCUAUGCCUGACACGUGAGUUAUGUGAAGAUGUGAUGCCAAAGCUGUUGCAGCCAUCUUGUAGCCGUGAGGGGAUAAACCAACUGUGACUACCAGAUGAUGCAGAGGAAAGCCUAGUUCCUUUCUGUAAUUCUGCUGUAGAACCGAUCCUGGAACUGCCUGCCUCAGGACUUCUGGAAAGGAUCAACUUUCCAUUAAAGAAAAAAGCAAAGAUUCAAAUGGAACCUAAAUUUUGAGGAAGUUGGAUUGCUGUCAGAAUAAAUGACAUUGGCACUGGAGACAGCAUCUUCCUCAUGAACAUGAACUUGAUAUAUGUUUAAUGUGAGUACGUUUUCUGUCAUUACUGGUAAAAGCAGGUAGGGUCUCCUUUUUGCAAAUGUGAGAACUUGAGGCUUGGGGAGGUUCAUGCCUUAUUUCAGUGGCCUGAAUUAUUUAUCAUUAAAAAAAUCUCUAUGGAAGGGCUGGCCCGGUGGUGCAGCGGUUAAAUUUGCACGUUCUGCUUCAGCCGUCCGGGGUUCACCGGUUCGCAUCCUGGGUGCAGACAUGGCACCACUUGGCAAGCCACGCAGUGGCAGGGGUACCACAUAUAAAGUAGAGGAAGAUGGGCACGGAUGUUCGCUCAGGGCCAACCUUCCUCAGCACACGUCUUGCUGUACACUUCUUGUUCAAGCAAAAUACUGAUGCACAGUGAAUGUGUAAACAUCUGCAGGGUUGGAAGGAGGCUUGAUGUCAUUGACUGGAAUGGCAAAGGGACCAGUAAAUGUAGACUCCUCUUCAACUUGCUGGUCUAAUUUAACAAAAGCUUAUGGAAAAUGUUUUGGGUCAAUAGAUGGUUCUGGUUACAUAUCUUAAAAUGUGGUUCUUGAAUUCCUUUUGAAUGCAUUGUGAGGUCUAUGUGAAGACAAGCUUCCUGCCCGAAUGAAACCCCACAUAGCGUGGGAAACUUGUGGUCAUGGUGAAUGCCAGUACUGCCCGAAGCAGGCCUCAAAUCACAAGUAUCAGAGACAGGUCAUUUCCUGCACUCACACACCAGAAGGUUACACAGCCUGCAGGUAUUAACUCAAGGCAUCAAGGUAGCAAAACAUUGGUUUUCAGGUAGUGGAGCCACUUUGCUUCCAGUUGAAGAAGUGGAGUCUUGGCAGUCACCUGCACACAGACAAAACUGGAGAACUUGAAUGCCUAAACCUGGACAUUGUCAUAGUAGGUUCUAAAAUUGUCUUCACAUGUUUCCCCCUUAAUCCCCACGACAAAUCUACGUCAGCGAGUUAGUAGAAGAUUCAGUGACAUGGGUUUGUCAAUGAUAGGGGUUCAUAGUGAGGAUAAAUAGGAAAAUCUACGUAGAAGCACCAAGUCCAUUUCCUGCUGUAAUUUUUUUACUGUGCAGAUGACAGAAAAACACAAGGUAAGUUUAUUUUUUAAGAAUUUUAAACUUCUUAAAUGUUUUGCAUGCAUUCUCAUUUCAGUAGUCUUUGGUCAGUAAUUCUUGACUUCAUUGGGGGCAGUACUUUUUUUUUAAUAAGAAUUCAUCAUAUUAUGUAAAUAAUGUUUGAUAAAUUUUUGUUGUGCUAAUAUCAUUGCUUUUAAUUUUCUGUUGAUUUUUCAAUUUCCGAAUGUAUUUUCUCUGUUUCCUUGAAUACUCA
ensembl:lncRNA